rnacentral:rRNA from 1 species
AGAGUUUGAUCCUGGCUCAGAUUGAACGCUGGCGGCAUGCUUUACACAUGCAAGUCGAACGGCAGCGCGGGGGCAACCCUGGCGGCGAGUGGCGAACGGGUGAGUAAUAUAUCGGAACGUACCCAAGAGUAGGGGAUAACGUAGCGAAAGUUACGCUAAUACCGCAUACGAUCUAAGGAUGAAAGCAGGGGAUCGCAAGACCUUGUGCUCCUGGAGCGGCCGAUAUCUGAUUAGCUAGUUGGUGGGGUAAAGGCCCACCAAGGCAACGAUCAGUAGCUGGUCUGAGAGGACGACCAGCCACACUGGAACUGAGACACGGUCCAGACUCCUACGGGAGGCAGCAGUGGGGAAUUUUGGACAAUGGGGGCAACCCUGAUCCAGCAAUGCCGCGUGAGUGAAGAAGCCUUCGGGUUGUAAAGCUCUUUUGUCAGGGAAGAAAAGCUGUGGCUAAUAUCCACAGCUGCUGACGGUACCUGAAGAAUAAGCACCGGCUAACUACGUGCCAGCAGCCCGCGGUAAUACGUAGGGUGCAAGCGUUAAUCGGAAUUACUGGGCGUAAAGCGUGCGCAGGCGGUUUCGUAAGUCUGUCGUGAAAUCCCGGCUCAACCUGGGAAUGGCGAUGGANACUGC